GCCCGGCUAGCUCAAUCGGUAGAGCGUGAGACUCUUAAUCUCAAGGUUGCGGGUUCGACCCCCGCGUUGAGCU
rnacentral:tRNA from 1 species